CAGUCGCCACGGUAAUACGUAGGGUGCAAGCGUUAAUCGGAAUUACUGGGCGUAAAGCGUGCGCAGGCGGUUUUGUAAGACAGAGGUGAAAUCCCCGGGCUCAACCUGGGAACUGCCUUUGUGACUGCAAGGCUAGAGUACGGCAGAGGGGGAUGGAAUUCCGCGUGUAGCAGUGAAAUGCGUAGAUAUGCUGAGGAACACCGAUGGCGAAGGCAAUCCCCUGGGCCUGUACUGACGCUCAUGCACGAAAGCGUGGGGAGCAAACAGGAUUAGAGACCCCAGUAGUCCCUGUCUCUUAUAC
rnacentral:rRNA from 1 species